rnacentral:rRNA from 1 species
AUUGAACGCUGGCGGCAUGCUUUACACAUGCAAGUCGAACGGUAACAGGUUAAGCUGACGAGUGGCGAACGGGUGAGUAAUGCAUCGGAACGUGCCCGAUCGUGGGGGAUAACGCAGCGAAAGCUGCGCUAAUACCGCAUACGAUCUGAGGAUGAAAGCGGGGGGCCGUAAGGCCUCGCGCGAUCGGAGCGGCCGAUGUCAGAUUAGGUAGUUGGUGGGGUAAAGGCCCACCAAGCCGACGAUCUGUAGCUGGUCUGAGAGGACGACCAGCCACACUGGGACUGAGACACGGCCCAGACUCCUACGGGAGGCAGCAGUGGGGAAUUUUGGACAAUGGGCGAAAGCCUGAUCCAGCAAUGCCGCGUGCAGGAAGAAGGCCUUCGGGUUGUAAACUGCUUUUGUACGGAGCGAAAAGGUCCUUUCUAAUACAAGGGGCUCAUGACGGUACCGUAAGAAUAAGCACCGGCUAACUACGUGCCAGCAGCCGCGGUAAAAC